rnacentral:rRNA from 1 species
CCUACGGGAGGCAGCAGUGGGGAAUAUUGCACAAUGGGGGAAACCCUGAUGCAGCGACGCCGCGUGAGUGAAGAAGUAUUUCGGUACGUAAAGCUCUAUCAGCAGGGAAGAACAUGACGGUACCUGACUAAGAAACCCCGGCUAACUACGUGCCAGCAGCCGCGGUAAUACGUAGGUGGCACGCGUGAUCGGGAUUUACGGGGUGUAAAGGGAGCGUAGACGGAAGCGCAAGUCUGAAGUGAAAUCCCAUGGCUUAACCAUGGAACUGCUUUGGAAACUGUGCAGCUAGAGUGCAGGAGAGGUAAGCGGAAGUCCUAGUGUAGCGGUGAAAUGCGUAGAUAUUAGGAGGAACACCAGUGGCGAAGGCGGCUUACUGGACUGUAACUGACGUUGAGGCUCGAAAGCGUGGGGAGCAAACAGGAUUAGAUACCCCAGUAGUC